UGGGGAAUAUUGCACAAUGGGGGAAACCCUGAUGCAGCGACGCCGCGUGAGCGAAGAAGGCCUUCGGGUCGUAAAGCUCUUUUAUAUGGGAAGAUAAUGACGUUACCAUAAGAAAAAGCCCCGGCUAACUACGUGCCAGCAGCCGCGGUAAUACGUAGGGGGCUAGCGUUGUCUGGAAUCACUGGGAGUAAAGGGUUCGCAGGCGGCAAUGCAAGUCAGAUGUAAAAGGCAAAGGCUCAACCUUUGUAAGCAUCUGAAACUGUAUAGCUUGAGAAGUGUAGAGGCAAGUGGAAUUUUUAGUGUAGCGGUGAAAUGGGUAGAUAUUAAAAAGAAAACCGGUGGCGAAGGCGACUUGCUGGGCACAAUCUGACGCUGAGGAACGAAAGCGUGGGGAGCAAACAGG
rnacentral:rRNA from 1 species